rnacentral:lncRNA from 1 species
CGCCCGUCCGAGCUGCCUUUGUUCUGCCGAGCUGCCUGCCCGCGCUCUCGUGAAAAGUCUGGUACUGGAGCUUCGAAUCGUAGUGUAUGGAAGACUGUUGAAGGUUGUGCUUUUGUGGAGCUCGAGUUCAUCGGAAGUUCUACAGUGCUUGCGCCAGAAAAACGUCGGUGCCUCGGUACCUUUGAGACGAAGGAGCGUUGGCCAAGUCUUUUUGAAAGGCUAUGCGGAUUCUGGAGGCAUCCCUACAUCAAGCAGGAACCUGCUGCACUGCUGGAAGCUGGACAGCACGACAAUAAAGCACGUGAUCUGUGUGCUUUCUCAAAGGUAGACAUCGGCGACGGUGUAUAUGUUGAAAAGUGCCUGCUGAAGAGGCUGCGCCUGGAUGCAAACAAC